rnacentral:rRNA from 1 species
AGAGUUUGAUCCUGGCUCAGGACGAACGCUGGCGGCGUGCCUAAUACAUGCAAGUCGAACGGUCUUUUCUAUGGAAGCUUGCUUCCACUGAGAAGAUAGUGGCGAACGGGUGAGUAACACGUGGGUAACCUGCCCAUAAGAGGGGGAUAACAUCCGGAAACGGGUGCUAAUACCGCAUAGUUUUCUUGAUCGCAUGAUCGAGAAAGGAAAGACGGCCUUUGUGCUGUCGCUUAUGGAUGGACCCGCGGCGUAUUAGUUAGUUGGUGAGGUAAUGGCUCACCAAGACGAUGAUACGUAGCCGACCUGAGAGGGUGAUCGGCCACAUUGGGACUGAGACACGGCCCAAACUCCUACGGGAGGCAGCAGUAGGGAAUCUUCCGCAAUGGACGAAAGUCUGACGGAGCAACGCCGCGUGAGUGAAGAAGKUUUCSGAUCGUAAACUCUGUUGUCAGAGAAGAAC